UGGUUUUCAAGAAAAGAAUUUAGUCCAACCUAAAAUAACUUUCCCUCCCCCACGCCCGCCCUUAUUUUAGAGUAAUUCAAAUGAGGUACAGCCCAUUUGAUACAGGAUCCAACCUUUACUAAAGGGUAAUACCUAACUUACACCCACAAGUAGGCCUAAGAGCAGCCAUCUUCUAAAAAGCGUCAAAGCUUAAAUUUGUUUAUUUUAAUCCACAGAUCUCCACAGACCCCUUUUAUUAUAUUGAAAAUUUCUAUAAUCCUAUAGAACCUUUAAUGCUAAAACUAGUAACAAGAAGCACCCCUCUCUUAUAUGCAAACAUAAGCCAGCAAGAACUCAUCACUGGCAAUUAAAAUUAACUAAAUGUAGUAACUUUCCCCAGAAAACCCUACUCUUAACCCACUGUUAACCUAACACAAGAGCAUUCCAAGAAAGAUUAAAAGAAAAAGAAGGAACUCAGCAAACAAUUAGCCUCGCCUGUUUACCAAAAACAUCGCCUCUUGUCCCCCCUAAGAGGUCCAGCCUGCCCAGUGACUCUGUUCAACGGCCGCGGUAUCCUAACCGUGCAAAGGUAGCGUAAUCACUUGUUUUCUAAAUGGAGACCAGUAUGAAAGGCAUCACGAGGGUUAAACUGUCUCCUUUCUCUAAUCAGUGAAACUAAUCCCCCCGUGAAGAAGCGGGGAUUCUACUAUAAGACGAGAAGACCCUAUGGAGCUUAAAACAUCUUAACACCUGCUGCAAUUUGCAUCAUCCAGAUAUUUACCUUUACCAGCACGCUGAUUAUAAGUUUUUGGUUGGGGUGACCGCGGAGAAAAAAUCAUCCUCCGCAAUGAAAAGGACCUCCUUAAACAGUAAGUUACAACUUUACGUAUCAAUAAAUUGACAUCAUUGACCCAACAAAUUGAUCAACGAACCUAGUUACCCUAGGGAUAACAGCGCAAUCCACUUCAAGAGCUCCUAUCGACAAGUGGGCUUACGACCUCGAUGUUGGAUCGGGGUAUCCUAGUGGUGCAGUCGCUACUAAAGGUUCGUUUGUUCAACGAUUAAAACCCCACGUGAUCUGAGUUCAGACCGGAGCAAUCCAGGUCAGUUUCUAUCUAUAAAGAGCUCUUUUCAGUACGAAAGGACCAAAAUAGCAUGGCCAAUACCCAGUCAAGCCAUAGUUAAUUACUUAUGACUUCCACUCAAAAGACUAUUAACCUCUCACCCACCU
rnacentral:rRNA from 1 species